UCAGUAGCUCAGUUGGAUAGAGCAACGGCCUUCUAAGCCGUGGGUCGGGGGUUCGAAUCCCUCCUGG
rnacentral:tRNA from 2 species